rnacentral:tRNA from 2 species
AGGUUUUUAGUUUAAUGGUAAAACAUACUC